GGGAAGUAUAGUUACAGUUCAAAUGAUGAAUUAAAACUGUUCAGCUGCUGAAUGAUACAGACAUGAACUAAAACUUAAUUCUGAUAGAACUGACUACAGCUAUUAACUCUGGACAGUGAACUUAGUUUUCAUAACUGGAAAUCCAAUCUUAAAAUCUUAUGUACUAUUCUAGGAAUGAGUAAGCAGAACUCUUCAAACACACUGGUAAGUGAAACUGAAUCCUGUUGGUUUUUAUUGUGUUCUGAGCAAAAACAAUUGCUGUAUGUAUAGACUAGAAAAAACGUUUCUUUGUGCUUUCAUGUCAUGCUAAGUGUCUAGAAAUGAUGUUUGAGUUCUUCAAUGAUACACUCCUGUAUCCCACUCCUGUAAUCCUAGGAGCUGGGAGCAAGGAUCAAGUUGGGGAACAGGGAAACUUGCUGAGUAGGUAACUCACUAGAUAAAGAACCAUCUGUCCCAGAGUACCACAGUUCAGAACCAUUGCAGCUCAGGCAGUCUUGAUAGCCAAACCUAGGAUCUCUGGCUUCAGUGAGAAACACUCAACCAGCAGUGUGUGUUGCAGUUUACAUAAUGCAGAUACAUUAGGCCAGUUAAUGGUUUGAUUUGGGCAAUUUUCCAGUGGGAGUGGAAUGAAGGCUGAGAUGGAAUGCUGCAUAAACUGAACAGCUGACAGCCCAUCCAGCCUCCUUAACAUGUGGAAUGUUUGUAAGAUUUAGAGGAGAUAAUGAUUAGGACCGUAUCAUUAGUUUCUUCAUUAGGAACACCAGGCUGAGGGUUUAGGAAUUGGCACUGCAUGGUAUCUGCACUCAGCAGUCCUUUCCUGCUGGUGUGUUCAAAAGACAGUGCGAUAGAAAUUCACUAUCUGGCAUCGUUGGUUUCUUGGCUUUGUGCAAGAUAACCUGGUAUUUCUAAUGAUACAGUUAUUUUAUACUGAUAUGCGUGCGCUGUGGAGGUCAGAGCAAGUUUGAUUGCAAUGUGGGUUCUAGGGAGUAAUUGGUCUAAGCUUGGUGGCUAGCAUUAUCACCUGCUUGAUGAAACUACUCUUUUUAUUCGUAGGGUGUCAACAAGUGAGAGACCUGGCUUAAAAUGGUUCCUAAAGUAAAUUGGUUUGAAGAAGGCACCAGAAUUGUUACGGUGAAAACCUUUGGAUUAGUCAUGGCUGUUCUGGCUUUUUAAUUCAAGGAGAGACGACAACAAA